GCCUGAGUAGGGUGCCUCCUGGAAGGAGGCUGGGGAGCUGGUGAGGGUGUGCACAGGGAGGGGCCAGGCCAGUUCUUGGAGUCAGGCUCCACGUGAAGCUCGCUCAAUAAUCUUGACAUGUUUUAUAUUGUUUUGACCGCCUUCUUUUGUAGAAAUAAAAAUUGACCUUAGAAUUUAUCGUCAGAUGGACUCGUAAGGAUCUGAAUGUUAGUGUCUUUUCCAAGCAAGCGGGACUGCCCUGAAGUAGUAGAGUCCUGGUCACUGACACCCAGAGGUGGCCAGGGAUCCGAGCACCGGGGUCCCCCUCCCUCCUGCCGCCGGGCCUUCCUCCCCGGCACUCCGUGGGCGAGGCCGGUGGCGAAUGAUUCAACCUUGGCUUUCUAUCUUAAUUUUAGUUUUGUGAGUUGAAGUCUUCGGGGCUCGUUGCCCGUGAAACAGCUCUGCUUUACCCAGUGGAGGAGGGGCGGUGGUGGGGGCGGCCCGCGGCCUGGCCGCAGCUUCGGUAGCCCCAGGUACGCGCAAACAGGCCUGGGGCCCCGUGCGCCCCACGCCCACCUUAGCAGAAAGGCGAUGAGGGACUUGAUUUCACUCACAUGCAGAUUUGUUAAUAAAAUGCCAAAUUCUGUCAGAAGCGCUCCAGAUCAGCCGCGGUUUGUUCUCCUCGCCGCUCUGAGCCCAGAAUUAUUGCCAUUCCUGGAAACCCGCCCACCGCUUCGUGCUUCCACCAGCGCAGCUCAGCCGCCUGUCUCCCCUGCCCCCGGGUCUGCUCGCCAGCCGCCGGGAGAGCGCCCGCGUGCUGCACGCGGCGGCCCCUCCCCUCGGGGGUUCACACUCUGCUUCGCCCCGCCCCUCCCAGAGUGGGCUGGCGGCCUGCCCGGCCCGGCUUCACCGGCGGCGCGCGCUGAGCCCUCGGGCAGGUGUGGAGCAGCUCACCGGUUAGCCUUGCUCCUCCGACCCGACAGCCGGUCCCCCGAGCAGGGGAGAGCUGCCAGGCCCGCCUCCGAGCGAGCGCCCUGGCCCCCCCGCCCCUCCCCACGGCGGGCACGAGCCUCCCGAGCCGCUGCGAUCUGCUCUGCUGCCCUGAAUAAAAGUGCUCUGGGACACGGUCUGCUCGUGUGGGUUUGUCUCUUCCUUUCUGGGGGUAGGGCUGCAUGGGUCUCCAGGAGAGAGGUGCAGACACUUUCUGGCCAGGCCCCGGACAGCAGAAGGGACAUCCGGGGCGUCAGGGGAGGAGGGGACACUGACCUCUGGACGUGCGUCACCUCAGCCACACUUAACAGAGAAGCAGACUGCGGGCCUGGUAGGGUGCCUCCUGGAAGGAGGCUGGGAGCUGGUGAGGGUGUGCACAGGGAGGGGCCAGGCCAGUUCCCUGAAUUCCUGCCCCGCAGCCCUGGGACUGCAGCCUUCGGGCUGGCUCAGCAGCAGGCCUGCUGGGGCCCUGACAGAGUUCUCCACUGGGUCCCCUGCCCUGGGGUCUGACACCAGCUGAGACCCCGACAGCUCAGCCUGCAGGUGGCAGGGGGAACUUCCGGGGCGUCGUUUCAGCAGGAGGUGAGGCGGCCGGCGCCUUCCCUUGAUCAUCAGUGGGGAGCCCCGACUCGGGGCCACCCCGGGCCCCGUCACCCUGCUUUCACAGAGGGGCCCGGCCAGGGGCCCCCACCACCAGUCACAGCCCCUCCCUGAAGCCUGAGACCCCCUCCGCUCCCUGCCCUCAGCGGCCCCCAGUCUCAUCUUCCUCACUCUCAAUACGCUCCACCUGUGUCUGCUCGGCCUGGCGUCUGGCCCCUCCUGCUCCCUGGGCUCUUCUGCCCAGGGCCCUGGACUUGGCGGGGUCCUGUCUGCACGGGGAGGCCCGCGUCCUGCUCCCGCUGUCCUCCCCAGCAGCACGUCUGUGCGGCACCCUGCUGGGCAUCCCUGAGCCUCAGUUGCUCCCACCAUCUGCAGCGGCUCCUCCCCACCCGCUCCCCCACCCCGCCAGGAGCGCAGCUGAGUGAAGCCCAGUCCUCACACAGCGCAGUGCCGGCAGGCCCUGUGUGGGAAACGCCGUCUUCCUGUGUGCCUGGCCGGCGGGUGCUGUGAGCCACGCCACGGAGCUUUGUCCUCCCACUCCCAUGGCAGCCCGAGUCCCACGCCUGUCCCACUGUGUGUAGAGACCGUGGGCUCCUUGCAGGCUGUGUCCCAGCCGCCCCGUGCCUGGUGGACCGUGGGUAACGGCGAAUCCCUCGUCUGAGCCGUCCUGAGCACAGCAGCUUGGACACGAGCAAUACCCGCCGUGGGAUCAGGGACCCACCCUCCGCCUCCUCAUCCCAGUCGCCGGGGGCCUCUGCUCCUCUCGCUCUGGCUCCCUGGUGACAGUAGCCUCUCCUGCAGACCCUCCAGCUCCCGUCACCCACACUCUCUCCUGGGCCAAGGGCUGCACAGCCAGCUCCUCUCAGAGCAGCAGACCCCCUCCCCCUUCCAGGGAGCAGACACAGACCCCCGUGGGUGGGGCAGGAUGAGAGGCAGAAAAGGGCCCACAGCUGGAGAAGUCAAGUUCCAAGGAAGAUGGGGAGGAGCUGGAACCAGAAAGGGGCUGAAGCCACCAGUCGGGAUGAGCCCUGCCCUCACGUGGUCAGUGCAGCGGGCUCUUCUGGCCCUGGUGGCUGCCUGACCCAGACUAAGGCCCAGCGCAUGUUGAGUCAGUGAGCAGGCAGCCUCACAGCUGCGCCCCCUUCUCUGGGUCUGCAAAAUGGGGGCACCGGCGCUGUGACGUGACACUCCAUGCGACGAGGACCACGCGGGGCUCCGCCUGCUUCCGGCACCACCCUUGACCCAGGCCCUGGGAGCCCCACCCACAGGGCAUCCACGAGACAUGAGGGACCCCACGUGCACAGACGACCAUUCCUCCUGGGCAAACGUAAAACACUCCUGCAGGCUUGCAGGACCUUCUCAGGCCCGCCCCCUGGGGCGGCAAAGGACUGCUGACUUAGGCCUCCCCCAGAACUGUAGCCUGCGAGAGAUUCUUCCAACCCCCACUACCUCUCCCCAAAGAAGAGGAUGAAGAGAGCCAAGGCACGGGCAGAGCCAAGGUGGACCACAUUGCUGACCGCUCCUGGGAGAGUGACCUCAGGGGCCCAGAGUGGCGUGCUCUUGUGUGUGGGAAGGUUCCUGGGCCUAGUUCACAGGAAACAUGCUACUUUAUUAACACAGCCACCUCUGCUCCUAGUGCCCACACAAGGAUGAUGCCAGUGGUGUGAUGGCCCCCACGCCUGGUAGGGCCCAGGCCCAGAGGUCACGGCUGCCCCCACAGCCAGAGCUUGCAGAAGCUUGGCCACCCCGCGCCAUGAGGACC
ensembl:lncRNA